rnacentral:rRNA from 1 species
ACGCGAGCUGGGUUCAGAACGUCGUGAGACAGUUCGGUCCCUAUCCGUCGCAGGCGUAGGAAAUUUGAGAAGACCUGUCCUUAGUACGAGAGGACCGGGAUGGACGUACCUCUGGUGUACCAGUUGUUCUGCCAAGGGCAUGGCUGGGUAGCGAUGUACGGAAUGGAUAAGCGCUGAAAGCAUCUAAGCGCGAAGCCAACUUCAAGAUAAGAUUUCCCACCGCAAGGGUAAGACCCCAGAAAGACUAUCUGGUUGAUAGGUCGAAGGUGUAAGUGCAGCA